rnacentral:rRNA from 1 species
CUUUGAAAAAAUUAAGGGUGUUUAAAGCAAGCUAACGCUUUGAAUACAUUAGCAUGGAAUAAUGAAAUAGGACGUUCGAUCUUAUUUUGUUGGCUUCUAGGAUUGGCGUAAUGAUUAAUAGGGAUAUUGGGGGCAUUAGUAUUCAAUUGUCAGAGGUGAAAUUCUUUGGAUUUAUUGAAGACUAACUACUGCGAAAAGCAUUUUGCCAAGGAUGUUUUCAUUAAUCAAGAACGAAAGUUAGGGGAUCGAAGACGAUCAGAUACCGUCGUAGUCUUAACCAUAAACUAUGCCGACUAGGGAUCAGAUGAUGUUAAUUUUUUAAUGACUCAUUCGGCGCCUUACG